AAGGCAUGGUCAUGUAGAUCAAGAAACCACGACGGGAAGCAGAAUACAUAAAAAGAAAACUAAAGUGUGCCAGAAAAAUACAAUCACAUCGCUUACAGUGUAUUUGAAUAUAAAGGAGAAAAAAACACUAAAUUUCCGCCCACUUAUUAUGACCAAAACAUGAAACCCUAAACACUGUAUUUGAAUGCAAAUGUGUUAUUGUGCUACCAGAAAUAAUGAAAGAAUCACAUCAAAUGUAAAGCGACCAAGGUUUAGUUAAAUCAAAUUAUAAUAAGAUUGAAAGACAAAUAAGAAGAAGGCACCUAG
rnacentral:lncRNA from 1 species